GUGCUUGCUUCGGCAGCACAUAUACUAAAAUCAGAAUGAUACAGAGAUUAGCAUGGCCCCUGCACAAGGAUAACAGGUAAAUUCAUGAGGCAUUCCAUGUUUUU
ensembl:snRNA U6 U6 spliceosomal RNA